UGUAUGUGUACUGUGUGUGCUAUCUGUAAAAAGAGCUCUAAUUAAUUUGGCCUGAAGAAAAACAAGCACUUGGAUCUAAUAUUUUUUAAAGUCAAGGAAACUUACUUUGAAUGAUUUACAGGCUUUAAGAAUUAAGCAAGGUAUACUCCUGUGAUCAAGAUAUGGAGCAUGUUUGUUUCUCUCUGCCUGGUUCUUCCAGAAUUUGGAAACUAUCUGCCAUCAAACUCCAAACAGUCAUGCAACCAGAGCCUCUGAAGAUGGCCCCUUCUGCCGGGAACACUUAGAUUGGCCUCUUGAGGGAGUUCUGCCAUUUCCCCAAAACAGCGCCCCC